ACUAAGCGUACACGGUGGAUGCCCUGGCAGUCAGAGGCGAUGAAGGACGUGCUAAUCUGCGAUAAGCGUCGGUAAGGUGAUAUGAACCGUUAUAACCGGCGAUUUCCGAAUGGGGAAACCCAGUGUGUUUCGACACACUAUCAUUAACUGAAUCCAUAGGUUAAUGAGGCGAACCGGGGGAACUGAAACAUCUAAGUACCCCGAGGAAAAGAAAUCAACCGAGAUUCCCCCAGUAGCGGCGAGCGAACGGGGAGGAGCCCAGAGCCUGAAUCAGUGUGUGUGUUAGUGGAAGCGUCUGGAAAGGCGCGCGAUACAGGGUGACAGCCCCGUACACAAAAAUGCACAUACUGUGAGCUCGAUGAGUAGGGCGGGACACGUGGUAUCCUGUCUGAAUAUGGGGGACCAUCCUCCAAGGCUAAAUACUCCUGACUGACCGAUAGUGAACCAGUACCGUGAGGGAAAGGCGAAAAGAACCCCGGCGAGGGGAGUGAAAAAGAACCUGAAACCGUGUACGUACAAGCAGUGGGAGCCUCUUUUAUGGGGUGACUGCGUACCUUUUGUAUAAUGGGUCAGCGACUUAUAUUCUGUAGCAAGGUUAACCGAAUAGGGGAGCCGAAGGGAAACCGAGUCUUAACUGGGCGUUAAGUUGCAGGGUAUAGACCCGAAACCCGGUGAUCUAGCCAUGGGCAGGUUGAAGGUUGGGUAACACUAACUGGAGGACCGAACCGACUAAUGUUGAAAAAUUAGCGGAUGACUUGUGGCUGGGGGUGAAAGGCCAAUCAAACCGGGAGAUAGCUGGUUCUCCCCGAAAGCUAUUUAGGUAGCGCCUCGUGAAUUCAUCUCCGGGGGUAGAGCACUGUUUCGGCAAGGGGGUCAUCCCGACUUACCAACCCGAUGCAAACUGCGAAUACCGGAGAAUGUUAUCACGGGAGACACACGGCGGGUGCUAACGUCCGUCGUGAAGAGGGAAACAACCCAGACCGCCAGCUAAGGUCCCAAAGUCAUGGUUAAGUGGGAAACGAUGUGGGAAGGCCCAGACAGCCAGGAUGUUGGCUUAGAAGCAGCCAUCAUUUAAAGAAAGCGUAAUAGCUCACUGGUCGAGUCGGCCUGCGCGGAAGAUGUAACGGGGCUAAACCAUGCACCGAAGCUGCGGCAGCGACACUAUGUGUUGUUGGGUAGGGGAGCGUUCUGUAAGCCUGUGAAGGUGUGCUGUGAGGCAUGCUGGAGGUAUCAGAAGUGCGAAUGCUGACAUAAGUAACGAUAAAGCGGGUGAAAAGCCCGCUCGCCGGAAGACCAAGGGUUCCUGUCCAACGUUAAUCGGGGCAGGGUGAGUCGACCCCUAAGGCGAGGCCGAAAGGCGUAGUCGAUGGGAAACAGGUUAAUAUUCCUGUACUUGGUGUUACUGCGAAGGGGGGACGGAGAAGGCUAUGUUGGCCGGGCGACGGUUGUCCCGGUUUAAGCGUGUAGGCUGGUUUUCCAGGCAAAUCCGGAAAAUCAAGGCUGAGGCGUGAUGACGAGGCACUACGGUGCUGAAGCAACAAAUGCCCUGCUUCCAGGAAAAGCCUCUAAGCAUCAGGUAACAUCAAAUCGUACCCCAAACCGACACAGGUGGUCAGGUAGAGAAUACCAAGGCGCUUGAGAGAACUCGGGUGAAGGAACUAGGCAAAAUGGUGCCGUAACUUCGGGAGAAGGCACGCUGAUAUGUAGGUGAAGCGACUUGCUCGUGGAGCUGAAAUCAGUCGAAGAUACCAGCUGGCUGCAACUGUUUAUUAAAAACACAGCACUGUGCAAACACGAAAGUGGACGUAUACGGUGUGACGCCUGCCCGGUGCCGGAAGGUUAAUUGAUGGGGUUAGCGGUAACGCGAAGCUCUUGAUCGAAGCCCCGGUAAACGGCGGCCGUAACUAUAACGGUCCUAAGGUAGCGAAAUUCCUUGUCGGGUAAGUUCCGACCUGCACGAAUGGCGUAAUGAUGGCCAGGCUGUCUCCACCCGAGACUCAGUGAAAUUGAACUCGCUGUGAAGAUGCAGUGUACCCGCGGCAAGACGGAAAGACCCCGUGAACCUUUACUAUAGCUUGACACUGAACAUUGAGCCUUGAUGUGUAGGAUAGGUGGGAGGCUUUGAAGUGUGGACGCCAGUCUGCAUGGAGCCGGCCUUGAAAUACCACCCUUUAAUGUUUGAUGUUCUAACGUUGGCCCCUGAUCGGGGUUGCGGACAGUGUCUGGUGGGUAGUUUGACUGGGGCGGUCUCCUCCUAAAGAGUAACGGAGGAGCACGAAGGUUGGCUAAUCCUGGUCGGACAUCAGGAGGUUAGUGCAAUGGCAUAAGCCAGCUUGACUGCGAGCGUGACGGCGCGAGCAGGUGCGAAAGCAGGUCAUAGUGAUCCGGUGGUUCUGAAUGGAAGGGCCAUCGCUCAACGGAUAAAAGGUACUCCGGGGAUAACAGGCUGAUACCGCCCAAGAGUUCAUAUCGACGGCGGUGUUUGGCACCUCGAUGUCGGCUCAUCACAUCCUGGGGCUGAAGUAGGUCCCAAGGGUAUGGCUGUUCGCCAUUUAAAGUGGUACGCGAGCUGGGUUUAGAACGUCGUGAGACAGUUCGGUCCCUAUCUGCCGUGGGCGCUGGAGAACUGAGGGGGGCUGCUCCUAGUACGAGAGGACCGGAGUGGACGCAUCACUGGUGUUCGGGUUGUCAUGCCAAUGGCACUGCCCGGUAGCUAAAUGCGGAAGAGAUAAGUGCUGAAAGCAUCUAAGCACGAAACUUGCCCCGAGAUGAGUUCUCCCUGAGACUUUAAGUCUCCUGAAGGAACGUUGAAGACGACGACGUUGAUAGGCCGGGUGUGUAAGCGCAGCGAUGCGUUGAGCUAACCGGUACUAAUGAACCGUGAGGCUUAACC
rnacentral:rRNA from 1 species